rnacentral:lncRNA from 1 species
CUUCCACAGACUGAAGCAUGGCUUGUCCUAGUUAGAUCAGUAACCCGUCUGUAAAUCAAGGUGCCUUGCCAUGAGGAACCUUAGUGAUGGACAAUGGAGCCAUUCUGCUCGGUGAAACAAACCUCCACCUCAGCACAAAGACCAUUUAAAUUCUCAACGUGAUGCUACAGGCUGAUACAGAAGAUUAGAGAGAAGGGACACUUCAUCACAGAGUGCACCAAAGGAUGGUGCACAAAAGGAUGGACUAAAGUUCUCACAUUCAUUGAAAGUGCCAAGAUCUUGGUUAACCAGAGGAACGAGCUGGGAUGCAGUCUCUCCUCAGCCCCCACGCUUGUGUCCUCUCCAUGGGAAUGGCAUCAGAACAUGUCAGUCUUUUGCUAAGUGCUGCCACAAAGCUGAAUAAAUGGCAAAGGGAAAUAAGCAACAUUUGUGUAUAGGUGAAGUGAUUUGGCCAUGAAGAAGAAGUGCC